GCAAUGCAGAUGGCAAAACAAGUUAGUUAUAAAAUGGAAGUAUGGUCCAGUAAAGAAAUUAACAGUAAUGGCUGUAAUAAAAAGAUAAGAAAAUGAAUUACCUGGAACUCAGAAAGACCAUCUGCACCAGCAGCAGCCUCCUCAGCCUUCUCCUUUUCCUUCUCAACUUCAUAUUUGGGCUUCCAGGUCUUCUCUAGGAUGGAGGUGGCAACCUUCUCAUCAUCAGCAAUCAAAAUAUUGUCAAACAGGAUGCCAUCCUGCAUCGUCCAGAUCUCAAUUCCAAUAGCAGCAAUUGGAUCAAAGUCAGGCUUGUCGAGCUCAAAGUACUCAGGGUUGGGGAUCUCCUGAGGCUUCCAGAUUCCCUUGUAGUUGGGAUUGUCAAUCAGGGGUGCAUGCCACUUGCCCUUGUAAGCAGGGUUCUGCUUCAUUGGCCUCUUCCACUCGCCACACCCAGGUGCCACUUCACACUUGGGGUUGUCAAUCUUUGGUGCCUCCCAUUCACCAUCCUCCUCAUCAUCCCAGUCCUCAGGCUUGGCUGCCUCUGGAUCAUCAAUUUCCUCAGGCUCAUCAUCCAGCCAUCCCUCAGGCUUGGUGGCUUCCUCAUCCUCAAUUUCCAUUGGAGCAUCCUCAUCCCAGUCAUCAGGCUUCACUGCAUCUGGAUCAGGGAUUUUAGCUCUCUCAUCCCAGUCCUCUGGCUUCUUGUCAUCAGGGUCAGGAAUGGUCUUGGGUGGGAUAAUAGCUGGCUCAAAAUCAUCAGCAGACAGGAAGUUUGCCUUCUUCUUUUCCUCCCCAUCGAUCAAAAUUCUCACCUCAUUGUCUGGCUUCAAGAUAGCCGUGUAGACAUGCGAGAGCUUGUCAUAUGGGACAGAAGGUGGGAACUUGAGGUGAUGCUCGACAUACUUUCCAGUCUUGGGG
rnacentral:lncRNA from 1 species